ensembl:misc_RNA Metazoa_SRP Metazoan signal recognition particle RNA
GCUGGGUGUGGUGGCGCACACCUGUAGUCCCAGCUACUUGGGAGGCUGAGGUGGGAGGAUUACUUGAGCCCAGGAGGUAAAAUCUGCAGUGAGCCAUGAUCAUACCACUGCACUCCAGCCUGAGUAACAGAGCAAGACCCUGCCUCAA